UAACACAAUUAUUAACGGCAUCUGCAAGAGAGGGAAUCCUUCUGUGGCUGUUACAUUGUUUAAGUAUAUGAAGAACAGAGGUUGCAAGCCUGAUACUGUGACUUACAACACACUUAUUGACUGUU
rnacentral:miRNA from 1 species